AACGCCUCUUUGAUCUCUGUGUGUGUCUCUUUUGCUUUGUGCAUGCUUUCUCUAGUCUCUCUAGGCUCGCAGAGGACUCCUACAUUGUCUGUGAUCUAUAUGUAUAAUAAAAGUUGGAAUUUGAUACUUGCUUUACUGUUUGUAGAAGUACCCAAUUGGUAAAUUUUGUUUUUCUUGUCAAAUUGAAGCAACCGUUUGAUGCUUUUGGAGGUACUAUCAAACACCCAUUAAAGGGACUGUGAAUGAAACUCUGUUCUUUUCAGUUCUUGUAAUAAUUCAAGUAGAAUUUGAUGCUUUUUGAUCUUUUUUGGAAACCCAUCUGAGAAUAUCUCAAAAGGUGCUCUGCAACUUCUCUUUUCUUGGUUUCUUGAGCUUCUUGGGUCUUCUGAUUCAAGACUUGAACAGCUAGUCAUUUCACUUCUCUAUACACCAUUUUUCUAAUUCCAUAUUCAUAUCUUCAAGUUUGACGUCCUCCUCCUGAAUUAGGUCCUAAAUGAAGAGAUUCAGGUUCUGCUCAUGUUAAUACAUUAGUGUUUUAAAUGAGUGGAGUUGCUUUCUUGUACGAGCAAAAGUGAAAAGAGAAUAUGCUUUCCUUUUUUGAGGUCUGGUGAGCUGUUAGGUGGUUAAUGCCAUUGUUUGUCUAUGUCUACUUUAUGCUCUGAAAGUUUCACUUUCUUGUCUGUAGGAAGCAUUUUCCGAUAUAGCCUUGCAUAUUGGAGUACGCUUGAUCCCAGUGUUUUUCAAAGAUGAGAUAAGUAGCUGUUGCUGGUUAGAUUUUAUGCUUGAUACGUUGGAUUUCCUCUUUUUCACUUUGUGUCUGUGGGAUGCUGCAAUGAGGUGUUUCUUUUACUUUAGCACCCGCUCAAUUCUAUAAAGCUGCCAAGAUACUUGUUCCUUGUUGAGUCCUGCAAGAUAACCCCAGCGAAUUUUGGUCAAACCCACUUUACCUUUAAUCUAUAGUUCUUCUGUUUUAUAUCUAUAUUUAGUCCUGGUCUUGGCUAAUUUUUGGGUUGGGGGUUUCCACAAAAUCAUAUAUAGAUUUGUUCCUUAGAAUUUUGGGGACUUUUGCUUUUAUAUUUAGAAAAAUGGGUAGCAGUGGUGAUAACAAUGAUGGUUUAGCGUUUCAAAGUGGGGGACAGAGUGUUGUGAAUUGUCAAUCUUCUGGAAUGGGGGGAAACCCCUUCUUUGCUUCCGCUUGGGAUCCAGUUGUUUCUAUAAGUCAGCAUGAGAAUUUUGGAGGUUCAUCAAUGCUGUCUCAAAGUGAACUCACCAAUUCUCCUUACCCUGUUGUGAUGGAAAACCAGGGAAUCAGUACCACUUCCCAUCUUGUUCAUUACCAAUCUGGUUCAAGUUAUGUUGAGCUGGUGCCUAAGUUUCCUUCCUAUGGAAGUGGGAGCUUCUCGGAAAUGGUUAGCUCAUUUGGUCUCAAUGAGUGUGGCCAGAUUGCCAAUACUGGAUGCCAUCCAAAUUAUACCACAAACAAGGAGGCAAAUAUCGAAAGAACUAUAGCAAAUAGUGCAGAAUCUCAAGAGGAUCACCAAUUAACAGAAGAGCCCAUUACAGGAGCUUCACCUGAUGGGAAGAAAAGAAAACGGGUGGGUGAAUCCAAUUCUUCAUAUGAUCCAAAUAAGAAUGCUGAAGGAGAACGACUGAAGGAUCCUUCUGGGCAUAGCUCUGAUGUUCAAAAAGAACAGGAUGAGAAGAAACCAAGAACUGAACAAAAUAGUGGUGCUAAUUUACGGGGUAAACAAUCAGCUAAACAAGCUAAAAACAAUUCUCACAGUGGAGAAGCUCCUAAUGAGAAUUACAUUCAUGUGAGAGCCAGAAGGGGACAGGCUACCAAUAGCCACAGCCUAGCUGAAAGGGUUAGAAGAGAGAAGAUAAGUGAGCGAAUGAGAUUGUUACAGGAACUUGUUCCAGGAUGCAAUAAGAUUACUGGAAAGGCAGUAAUGCUUGAUGAAAUCAUUAACUAUGUGCAGUCGUUGCAACAACAGGUAGAGUUUCUGUCAAUGAAACUGGCUACUGUGAAUCCUGAACUAAGCAAUGAUAUUGAGAAGAUUCUGUCCAAAGAUAUCCUUCAUCCAAGAGGUAGUAAUGCUGCACUAAUGGGAUUCGUUCCUGGGAUGAAUGCUCACCCUUACUCACACGGAAUUUUUCCAGCAAGCAUACCAGUAAUUUCAAAUGCAAAUCCACAAUUUCCAUCUGUGCCUCAUGUAAACUACAUUAGACAAUGAUCUCCAAAGCCUUUUUCCAAAUGGGAUUUGAUUCCACUUCUGCUAUUGACAGUUUGGGACCAAAUGGUAAUUGGCAGGGCAAUUCAAGCCAGAGCUCCAAAAUCUGAAGAAAUCAAAGGUUCUAAUUCCUUCUAACAAAUAAUUUGAAGUCUUUCAAGUUGAAUUGCAAAUUAAAGUCAUUUAGGAAAGGGCAAAAAAAAGUAAGUUUCUUGGUUGUAUAGGGUCAGCUCCUGACUGCUUGUUCUUUGAAUUUUUUAGCAGAAGAAAGAUUAAGCGGUAGAAUCACAUGUAUAUUUUUAGAUUUUAAAAAAUGGACUUUGAUGGGUGAUGUCAACUUGUUUUCUUCUUUUUUUUCAUUUUUCCUUUCCAUUGUAAUUGGUAUUCUGAAUUAAAGGGAGUCAUGAGUGUGGAGAUUUAUGAGUUUUUUGUAAGGGAAAUGUUGCAGAGUUUCCUUCUUGUAGAAUAGAUGAAGCAUGGAGUUAUUUGUCA